rnacentral:rRNA from 1 species
CCUACGGGUGGCUGCAGUGAGGAAUAUUGGUCAAUGGGCGAGAGCCUGAACCAGCCAAGCCGCGUGAAGGAUGAAGGAUCUAUGGUUUGUAAACUUCUUUUAUAUGGGAGUAAAGUGAGGAACGUGUUACUUUUUGUAUGUACCAUAUGAAUAAGCAUCGGCUAACUCCGUGCCAGCAGCCGCGGUAAUACGGAGGUUGCGAGCGUUAUCCGGAGUUAUUGGGUUUAAAGGGUGCGUAGGUGGUUAAUUAAGUCAGCGGUGAAAGUUUGUGGCUCAACCAUAAAAUUGCCGUUGAAACUGGUUGACUAGAGGAUAUGUGAGGUAGGCGGAAUGCGGGGUGUAGCGGUGAAAUGCAUAGAUAUCACGCAGAACACCGAUUGCGAAGGCAGCUUACUAAACUAUAACUGACACUGAGGCACGAAAGCGUGGGGAGCAAACAGGAUUAGAUACCCGUGUAGUC